CCGCCACGGGAAUACGUAGGGUGCGAGCGUUAAUCGGAAUUACUGGGCGUAAAGCGUGCGCAGGCGGUUAUAUAAGACAGAUGUGAAGUCCCCAGGCUCAACCUGGGACCUGCAUUUGUGACUGUAUAGCUAGAGUACGGUAGAGGGGGAUGGAAUUCCGCGUGUAGCAGUGAAAUGCGUAGAUAUGCGGAGGAACACCGAUGGCGAAGGCAAUCCCCUGGACCCGUACUGACGCUCAUGCACGAAAGCGUGGGGAGCAAACAGGAUUAGAUACCCGUGUAGUCCCUGUCUCUUAUACACA
rnacentral:rRNA from 1 species